rnacentral:rRNA from 1 species
UAGGGAAUCUUCGGCAAUGGGGGCAACCCUGACCGAGCAACGCCGCGUGAGUGAAGAAGGUUUUCGGAUCGUAAAGCUCUGUUGUAAGUCAAGAACGAGUGUGAGAGUGGAAAGUUCACACUGUGACGGUAGCUUACCAGAAAGGGACGGCUAACUACGUGCCAGCAGCCGCGGUAAUACGUAGGUCCCGAGCGUUGUCCGGAUUUAUUGGGCGUAAAGCGAGCGCAGGCGGUUUGAUAAGCCUGAAGUUAAAGGCUGUGGCUCAACCAUAGUUCGCUUUGGAAACUGUCAAACUUGAGUGCAGAAGGGGAGAGUGGAAUUCCAUGUGUAGCGGUGAAAUGCGUAGAUAUAUGGAGGAACACCGGUGGCGAAAGCGGCUCUCUGGUCUGUAACUGACGCUGAGGCUCGAAAGCGUGGGGAGCGAACAGGAUUAGAUACCCUGGUAGUCCACGCCGUAAACGAUGAGUGCUAGGUGUUGGAUCCUUUCCGGGAUUCAGUGCCGCAGCUAACGUAUUAAGCACUCCGCCUGGGGAGUACGACCGCAAGGUUG